rnacentral:lncRNA from 1 species
AAGGAUAGAAGCGUCCUGAGAGAUAGUAGAAUAUGUCUGCUACAUAACAGGUACUCAGGUUAUGUUUGAUGAAUAAAUGGAAUGAAAGAAUGGAUAAAUACAGUUGGGGAGAUCGAUAUUUUUAAAUAAACUCCUAUAAAGCAAUAUUUUUGCAAUAGUAUUUAUAUAUUAUUUUUAUUUUUAAAGAAUACAAUUGAAAUGAAAUUAUUAAUCUAUCAUUGUUUGCAUAAAUUGAGUGAAUAUAUAAGAAAACCAUGUUCAUAAUAAUAUAUACAGAAAAUAAAAUCUGGAAACAGAUAAAAACAUUCCCUUUUUACUUCUGAAGAGGCUAAAAGUUCAAAGAAGAUAACAAUACACAAAAUAAUGAUAAAAAUAGAAAGCGAGAAAUUAUUUUUAAUAUUGUAAGAUUCAUAUUCCUCUCUUCCCAAGGAUUAUUCCUUUAUUAAUAAACUUUACUAGAAGCUUUGUACACGCUCACUGCAGCAAUCACAGAUAAGAAAAAGGAAAAGAACUUUACUUAAAAUACAAUUGCUCAGAAAUUACAAAUUUUAUAUUUUGUACAUAUUUUUUGCUAAAACAAGACCAUAGUAUAUUUGUGUGUAUGUAUAAUUUAACUGAUUUUUUUUCCUCGCUAGCUAUAACAAAAUACAUCUUCACACAUCAAUGUACUUCUGUAUCUAUUGCCACCUUCAACGGUCACAUAUUAUUCCAUCCUACGGAUGCAACUGAAAUUUAUUUAUAGGAUCCAUUCUAUGGGUUCUUUUUAAAAUAAGUGUUGCAAAAAAUAAAGUGCAUGUAUCUUUAUUUCCUAAGUGUGUUUUAGUAUAAUGGAAUUGAUGGGUAAAGGGCAUACAUAUUUUUUAAAUGUAGUACUUACCACCAAAUUACCUAUUUGAAAAGUAAUCAGCAACUUAGACUUUAAGCAGGAGUGUAAAACAUCCUCACA